GUGCAGCAGGCGAGAAUUUUUCUCAAUGGGGGCAACCCUGAAGGAGCGACGCCGCGUGGAGGAUGAAGGCUUUCGGGUUGUAAACUCCUGUCAUUUGAGAACAAGUGGCCGAACCUAACUACUUCGGCCUUGAUAGUAUCAGAAGAGGAAGGGACGGCUAACUCUGUGCCAGCAGCCGCGGUAAUACAGAGGUCCCAAGCGUUGUUCGGAUUCAUUGGGCGUAAAGGGUGCGUAGGUGGCGCCGUCAGUGGGGUGUGAAAUUUCGGAGCUUAACUCCGAAACUGCAUUCCAUACUGCGGUGCUUGAGGACUGGAGAGGAGACUGGAAUUUACGGUGUAGCAGUGAAAUGCGUAGAGAUCGUAAGGAAGACCAGUGGCGAAGGCGGGUCUCUGGACAGUUCCUGACACUGAGGCACGAAGGCCAGGGGAGCAAACGGGAUUAGAUA
rnacentral:rRNA from 1 species